CAGCCGCCACGGUAAUACGGAGGGUGCAAGCGUUAUCCGGAUUUAUUGGGUUUAAAGGGUCCGUAGGCGGAUCUGUAAGUCAGUGGUGAAAUCUCACAGCUUAACUGUGAAACUGCCAUUGAUACUGCAGGUCUUGAGUAAAUUUGAAGUGGCUGGAAUAAGUAGUGUAGCGGUGAAAUGCAUAGAUAUUACUUAGAACACCAAUUGCGAAGGCAGGUCACUAAGAUUUAACUGACGCUGAUGGACGAAAGCGUGGGGAGCGAACAGGAUUAGAUACCCGCGUAGUCCCUGUCUCUUAUAC
rnacentral:rRNA from 1 species